ACAAACUCAAAAGAGAUGAAGAUGAACAGGAUGAUUUUGAAGAAAGGAUUAAUUUAAAACUAGCUGAACAGGAGGAAGAUCUUGAAAGGAUUAAGGAGGAGAGUAGAAAACGCAGGAAAGCCAUUCUUGAAAAAUUUAGGAAUCAGCAGUCACAGCAGCAAAAUGAGACUCAAUCAGAGGAUGCGGAAAAAGAUGUUGAUGAACCUGCACAACUUCCUGUCCAAUCACUACCAGCUUAUAAUGUUGCUCCAGAAACUCUUGAUAAUAGGAUUGAUGGUGAUGUCUUUUUGGCUGAGCCACCAUUUUCUGUGGGCAAGUCACCUGAACAAAAUGAAACAAAGGAUUCUGGGAGGACUUCUGGUGCCGUGGGGCUUGGAGAGGGUACUCCCAAGAGCGAGAGGUCAGAUGAAAAAUACUGUGAUGACAUAUUUGGAGAGACACCUGCUGGAGUUCGUAAAUCAGGGAAGGGAGAUGGUUUGCCAAUUAUGCGGAGUGGUCUUCAUGACAACUGGGAUGACUCUGAUGGGUAUUAUGGCUACCGAUUUGGUGAAAUACUUGAUGGUCGGUAUGAAAUUGUGGCUGCUCAUGGGAAAGGCGUCUUUUCCACUGGAAAAGGUGUCUUUUCCACAGUAAUUCGUGCGAAGGAUUUAAAGGCUGGUGUUGGUGAACCUGAAGAAGUGGCUAUAAAAAUCAUUCGUAAUAAUGAAACAAUGCAAAGAGCUGGUCAGUCAGAGGUUAAGAUAUUAAAUAAACUAGCAGAUCUAGAUCAGGAGAACAAGCGCCAUUGUGUUCGUUUCCUUUCAAGUUUUAAGUAUAGAAAUCAUCUUUGUUUAGUUUUUGAAUCUCUUCAUAUGAACCUUCGUGAGGUUUUAAAAAAGUUUGGUCGCAAUAUCGGCCUUAAACUAACUGCUGUGAGGGCGUAUGCAAAGCAGCUUUUUAUUGCACUGAAGCAUCUUAAGAACUGUGGUGUUCUUCAUUGUGAUAUAAAGCCUGAUAACAUGCUGGUAAACGAGGCAAAAAAUGUGCUGAAGCUUUGUGAUUUUGGUAAUGCCAUGUUUUCUGGUAAAAAUGAAAUUACUCCAUACCUUGUGAGCCGCUUUUAUCGUGCUCCGGAAGUCAUUCUUGGCUUGCCAUAUGAUCAUCCAAUGGAUAUGUGGUCUGUUGGUUGCUGCUUGUAUGAGCUUUAUACCGGUAAAGUUCUUUUUCCUGGUCCUACAAAUAAUGACAUGUUGCGACUUCACAUGGAACUGAAAGGCUCUUUUCCAAAGAAGAUGCUUAAGAAGGGUGCAUUUGUUGACCAGCAUUUUGAUCAGGAUUUGCAUUUUCAUGCUACAGAGGAGGAUCCUGUUACUAAAAGGACUGUAAAGAGGAUGAUUCUAAAUAUAA
rnacentral:misc_RNA from 1 species